UAACUCACUGUCAUGUCCUCA
rnacentral:miRNA from 1 species